rnacentral:rRNA from 1 species
CCUACGGGAGGCAGCAGUAGGGAAUCUUUCACAAUGGGCGAAAGCCUGAUGGAGCAACGCCGCGUGCAGGAUGAAGGCCUUCGGGUUGUAAACUGCUUUUAUAAGCGAGAAAUAUGAUGGUAACUUAUGAAUAAGGAUCGGCUAACUACGUGCCAGCAGCCGCGGUCAUACGUAGGAUCCGAGCAUUAUCCGGAGUGACUGGGUGUAAAGAGGUGCGUAGGUGGCAUAAUAAGUAGCUAGGGAAAUCUGGUGGCUCAAACAUUCAGACUAUUAGCUAAACUGUUAAGCUCGAGACCGUUAGGGGUAACUGGAAUUUCUAGUGUAGGAGUGAAAUGCGUAGAUAUUAGGAAGAACACCAGUGGCGAAGGCGGCUUUCUGGACUGAAACUGACGCUGAGGCACGAAAGCGUGGGGAGCGAACAGGAUUAGAUACCCGAGUAGUC